UAAUUUUACUGCAUUAAGAAA
ensembl:piRNA 21ur-4053 ncRNA